CCAAGGAGUCUAACAUGUGCGCGAGUCAUUGGGACCGCAAAACCUAAAGGCGUAAUGAAAGUGAAGGUCGACCUUGCGUCGACUAAGGGAGGAUGGGUUGCGUUACGAUGCAGCCCCGCACUCCCGGGGCGUCUCGUACUCAUUGCGAGUAGAGGCGCACCCAGAGCGUACACGUUGGGACCCGAAAGAUGGUGAACUAUGCCUGGUCAGGACGAAGUCAGGGGAAACCCUGAUGGAGGUCCGUAGCGAUUCUGACGUGCAAAUCGAUCGUCGGAACUGGGUAUAGGGGCGAAAGACUAAUCGAACCAUCUAGUAGCUGGUUCCCUCCGAAGUUUCCCUCAGGAUAGCUGGCACUCGCGUGAGCGAGUCUCAUCUGGUAAAGCGAAUGAUUAGAGGCCUUGGGGCCGAAACGACCUCAACCUAUUCUCAAACUUUAAAUGGGUGAGAUCUCUGGCUUGCUUGAACAGUGAAGCCACGAGAUUUCGGAUCAGAGUGCCAAGUGGGCCAAUUUU
rnacentral:rRNA from 1 species